GCUCAGAUUGAACGCUGGCGGCAGGCCUAACACAUGCAAGUCGAGCGGAAACGACAAUAACAUCCUUCGGGUGCGUUAAUGGGCGUCGAGCGGCGGACGGGUGAGUAAUGCCUAGGAAAUUGCCUUGAUGUGGGGGAUAACCAUUGGAAACGAUGGCUAAUACCGCAUAAUGCCUACGGGCCAAAGAGGGGGAUCUUCGGACCUCUCGCGUCAAGAUAUGCCUAGGUGGGAUUAGCUAGUUGGUGAGGUAAUGGCUCACCAAGGCGACGAUCCCUAGCUGGUCUGAGAGGAUGAUCAGCCACACUGGAACUGAGACACGGUCCAGACUCCUACGGGAGGCAGCAGUGGGGAAUAUUGCACAAUGGGCGAAAGCCUGAUGCAGCCAUGCCGCGUGUAUGAAGAAGGCCUUCGGGUUGUAAAGUACUUUCAGUUGUGAGGAAGGGGGUAACGUUAAUAGCGUUAUCUCUUGACGUUAGCAACAGAAGAAGCACCGGC
rnacentral:rRNA from 1 species